CAAACAGGAUUAGAUACCCUGGUAGUCCACGCCGUAAACGAUGUCGAUUUGGAGGUUGUGCCCUUGAGGCGUGGCUUCCGGAGCUAACGCGUUAAAUCGACCGCCUGGGGAGUACGGCCGCAAGGUUAAAACUCAAAUGAAUUGACGGGGGCCCGCACAAGCGGUGGAGCAUGUGGUUUAAUUCGAUGCAACGCGAAGAACCUUACCUGGUCUUGACAUCCACAGAACUUUCCAGAGAUGGAUUGGUGCCUUCGGGAACUGUGAGACAGGUGCUGCAUGGCUGUCGUCAGCUCGUGUUGUGAAAUGUUGGGUUAAGUCCCGCAACGAGCGCAACCCUUAUCCUUUGUUGCCAGCGGUCCGGCCGGGAACUCAAAGGAGACUGCCAGUGAUAAACUGGAGGAAGGUGGGGAUGACGUCAAGUCAUCAUGGCCCUUACGACCAGGGCUACACACGUGCUACAAUGGCAUAUACAAAGAGAAGCGACCUCGCGAGAGCAAGCGGACCUCAUAAAGUAUGUCGUAGUCCGGAUUGGAGUCUGCAACUCGACUCCAUGAAGUCGGAAUCG
rnacentral:rRNA from 1 species